UACGGAGGGUGCAAACGUUGCUCGGAAUCAUUGGGCGUAAAGCGCACGUAGGCGGCGUGAUAAGUUGGGUGUGAAAGCCCUGGGCUCAACCCAGGAAGUGCAUUCAAAACUGUCACGCUUGAAUCUCGGAGGGGGUCAGAGAAUUCCCGGUGUAGAGGUGAAAUUCGUAGAUAUCGAGAGGAACACCUGCGGCGAAGGCGGGUUGCUGGGCUGAUACUGACGCUGAGGCGCGAAAGCCAGGGGAGCGAACGGG
rnacentral:rRNA from 1 species